rnacentral:rRNA from 1 species
CGUAGGGUGCGAGCGUUGUCCGGAAUUACUGGGCGUAAAGAGCUCGUAGGUGGUUUGUCGCGUUGUUCGUGAAAACUCACAACUCAAUUGUGGGCGUGCGGGCGAUACGGGCAGACUGGAGUACUGCAGGGGAGACUGGAAUUCCUGGUGUAGCGGUGGAAUGCGCAGAUAUCAGGAGGAACACCGGUGGCGAAGGCGGGUCUCUGGGCAGUAACUGACGCUGAGGAGCGAAAGCAUGGGGAGCAAACAGG